GUCAGUGUGGUUUAGUGGUUUGAGCUUUGGACUAGGACUCUGGAGACCAGGGUUCUAAUCCCCGCUCAGCCA